GAAGUGGGAAAGAAAGAAUAAAAAAGAAAAAUAAAAAUAAAAAGAGAAACUAGAAUUUGAAAGCUUGGAAUUUAAAUAAGUAAGUUAAUUAAGUCUUUUUCUUUUAAUUUUGAUGUUUUAGAAGUUUUAGAAUAAAGUUUUGCAGAAAUUAAGAUGAGAUUUUGGAAGUUCUUAGGUUUUUGAGUAUAGUUCAUGUUGAA
rnacentral:lncRNA from 1 species